rnacentral:rRNA from 1 species
UACGAAGGGGGCUAGCGUUGCUCGGAAUCACUGGGCGUAAAGGGUGCGUAGGCGGGUCUUUAAGUCAGGGGUGAAAUCCUGGAGCUCAACUCCAGAACUGCCUUCGAUACUGAGAGUCUCGAGUCCGGGAGAGGUGAGUGGAACUGCGAGUGUAGAGGUGAAAUGCGUAGAUAUCGAGAGGAACACCUGCGGCGAAGGCGGGUUGCUGGGCUGACACUGACGCUGAACUGCGAAAGCUAGGGGAGCGAACGGG